GUGUUCAGAGGAAAGAGGAAAUCCAAGGAGGCUGGAAGUGACUCUGCUCAGCAAAAACCGCCUUAGAGUCAAGGAGAACAUGGCAGUAUGCAAGAGGAGGAAAGGAUGGGGUCACACAAAGAAAAAGAGCUAGAGCUGGCCUUUUCUCCACUCAGGGAAUGAGAUGUAAGCUGCAAAGUGAGUCCGAGGCUGAGAACCCACCAAGGAUGGCAGUAUCUCUCGAAGGACUAGAGGUGAUGGCCACGUCUGAGGUUAAGGUCCCUUCAGAGGCCACGGGCAAGGUGGAUGGGAAAGAGACCAAGAGGAAAAAAAAUAAGUGACUCAAUGACCUGGCUUUACCCCAAGAAUGGAAAGUAAAGUGCAAGAUCCCACGCUUUGCCCUUCCAUUUCAUGUUCAUCUUUGACAGAGACGGGAAAAGGUGGGCUGUUUUGGCUUUCUACCAUGGAGGAGGACCUUGAAGGAGAAAACUGGCAGACCUUCUCCAUUCCCUGGGGCUUUGGCAAGGUUGCAGAAGAUGAAGGAGAACAUAUUUGCCAGUGAGUAAUGGUCCUCAAGUAGAAAUAUCAGGGUUCUUAUUGUUUUCUUAUGAUAUUGUCAUGCUUUUCAGUAGGAUGGAUUUAUUUGGAC
rnacentral:lncRNA from 1 species